rnacentral:rRNA from 1 species
UACCCGCUGAACUUAAGCAUAUCAAUAAGCGGAGGAAAAGAAACCAACAGGGAUUGCCUCAGUAACGGCGAGUGAAGCGGCAACAGCUCAAAUUUGAAAUCUGGCCUUUUUAGGGUCCGAGUUGUAAUUUGUAGAGGAUGUUUCGGGUACCGCUCCGGUUUAAAUUUCUUGGAACAGAAUGUCAAAGAGGGUGAGAAUCCCGUCUUGGACCGUGGUAGGGCCCAUGUGAAACUCCUUCGACGAGUCGAGUUGUUUGGGAAUGCAGCUCAAAAUGGGUGGUAAAUUUCAUCUAAAGCUAAAUAUUGGCCAGAGACCGAUAGCGCACAAGUAGAGUGAUCGAAAGAUGAAAAGCACUUUGAAAAGAGAGUUAAACAGUAUGUGAAAUUGUUGAAAGGGAAGCGCUUGCAACCAGACUUGCGCGCGGCGGUUCCCCCUUCCUUUUGGUUGGGUUAUUCCGUCGUGUCCAGGCCAACAUCGGUUCUGGGGGUCGGUCAAAGGCUUUGGGAAUGUACCUACCCUUCGGGCGUAGACUUAUAGCCCGGAGUGUCAUGCGGCCUCCCGGGACCGAGGAACGCGCUUCGGCUCGGAUGUUGGCGUAAUGGUUGUCAGCGACCCGUCUUGAAACACGGACCAAGGAGUCUAACAUCUAUGCGAGUGUUUGGGUGUCAAACCCGGAACGCGUAAUGAAAGUGAACGGAGGUAGGAAGCGUAAGCUGCACUAUCGACCGAUCCUGAUGUCUUCGGAUGGAUUUGAGUAAGAGCAUAGCUGUUGGGACCCGAAAGAUGGUGAACUAUGCCUGAAUAGGGUGAAGCCAGAGGAAACUCUGGUGGAGGCUCGCAGCGGUUCUGACGUGCAAAUCGAUCGUCAAAUUUGGGUAUAGGGGCGAAAGACUAAUCGAACCAUCUGGUAGCUGGUUCCUGCCGAAGUUUCCCUCAGGAUAGCAGUAACGUUUUCAGUUUUAUGAGGUAAAGCGAAUGAUUAGAGGCCUUGGGGUUGAAACAACCUUAACCUAUUCUCAAACUUUAAAUAUGUAAGAAGUCCUUGUUGCUUAAUUGAACGUGGACAUUUGAAUGUAUCGUUACUAGUGGGCCAUUUUUGGUAAGCAGAACUGGCGAUGCGGGAUGAACCGAACGUGAGGUUAAGGUGCCGGAAUGUACGCUCAUCAGACACCACAAAAGGUGUCAAUGCAUCCAGACAGCCGGACGGUGGCCAUGGAAGUCGGAAUCCGCUUAGGAGUGUGUAACAACUCACCGGCCGAAUGCAUUGGCCCUGAAAAUGGAUGGCGCUUAAGCGUGCUACCUAUACCUCGCCGUCAGGGUUGAAAUGAUGCCCUGACGAGUAGGCAGGCGUGGAGGUCCGUGACGAAGCCUUGGGGGUGACCCUGGGUCGAACGACCUCUAGUGCAGAUCUUG